GUACAUUCUAUGUUCAGUUGGUUAGAGCAUGGUGCUUAUAACACCAAGGUUGCAGGUUGAAUCCCUAUAAGGGACA